rnacentral:rRNA from 1 species
AUUGAACGCUGGCGGCAUGCCUUACACAUGCAAGUCGAACGGUAACGGGCCUUCGGGUGCCGACGAGUGGCGAACGGGUGAGUAAUACAUCGGAACGUGCCCGAUCGUGGGGGAUAACGAGGCGAAAGCUUUGCUAAUACCGCACACGAUCUACGGAUGAAAGCAGGGGACCGCAAGGCCUUGCGCGGACGGAGCGGCCGAUGGCAGAUUAGGUAGUUGGUGGGAUAAAAGCUUACCAAGCCGACGAUCUGUAGCUGGUCUGAGAGGAUGAUCAGCCACACUGGGACUGAGACACGGCCCAGACUCCUACGGGAGGCAGCAGUGGGGAAUUUUGGACAAUGGGCGCAAGCCUGAUCCAGCCAUGCCGCGUGCAGGAUGAAGGCCUUCGGGUUGUAAACUGCUUUUGUACGGAACGAAAAGCCUUCUUUUAAUACAGGAGGGUCAUGACGGUACCGUAAGAAUAAGCACCGGCUAACUACGUG